rnacentral:rRNA from 1 species
UACGUAGGGGGCAAGCGUUGUCCGGAUUUAUUGGGCGUAAAGAGCGUGUAGGCGGUCUGGUAGGUCCGUUGUGAAAACUCGAGGCUCAACCUCGAGACGCCGAUGGAAACCAUCUGACUAGAGUCCGGAAGAGGAGAGUGGAAUUCCUGGUGUAGCGGUGAAAUGCGCAGAUAUCAGGAAGAACACCCGUGGCUAAGGCGGCUCUCUAGUACGGUACUGACGCUGAGACGCGAAAGCGUGGGGAGCGAACAGG